rnacentral:rRNA from 1 species
GACGAACGCUGGCGGCGUGCCUAAUACAUGCAAGUCGAACGCUUCUUUCCUCCCGAGUGCUUGCACUCAAUUGGAAAGAGGAGUGGCGGACGGGUGAGUAACCCGUGGGUAACCUACCCAUCAGAGGGGGAUAACACUUGGAAACAGGUGCUAAUACCGCAUAACAGUUUAUGCCACAUGGCAUAAGAGUGAAAGGGGCUUUCGGAUGUCGCUGAUGGAUGGACCCGCGGUGCAUUAGCUAGUUGGUGAGGUAACGGCUCACCAAGGCCACGAUGCAUAGCCGACCUGAGAGGGUGAUCGGCCACACUGGGACUGAGACACGGCCCAGACUCCUACGGGAGGCAGCAGUAGGGAAUCUUCGGCAAUGGACGAAAGUCUGACCGAGCAACGCCGCGUGAGUGAAGAAGGUUUUCGGAUCGUAAAACUCUGUUGUUAGAGAAGAACAAGGACGUUAGUAACUGAACGUCCCUUGACGGUAUCUAACCAGAAAGCCACGGCUAACUACGUG